ACAAUAUAGGACUCUUUUGAGGCCCUGUAAUUGGAAUGAGUACACUUUAAAUCCUUUAAAGAGGAUCUUUUGGAGGGCAAGUCUGGUGCAGAGUGACUGGCCCGUUCGUGCUGCAGCUGAAA